rnacentral:rRNA from 1 species
AGUGAACGCUGGCGGUAGGCCUAACACAUGCAAGUCGAACGGCAGCACAGUAAGAGCUUGCUCUUACGGGUGGCGAGUGGCGGACGGGUGAGGAAUACAUCGGAAUCUACUUUUUCGUGGGGGAUAACGUAGGGAAACUUACGCUAAUACCGCAUACGACCUACGGGUGAAAGCAGGGGAUCUUCGGACCUUGCGCGAUUGAAUGAGCCGAUGUCGGAUUAGCUAGUUGGCGGGGUAAAGGCCCACCAAGGCGACGAUCCGUAGCUGGUCUGAGAGGAUGAUAAGCCACACUGGAACUGAGACACGGUCCAGACUCCUGCGGGAGGCAGCAGUGGGGAAUAUUGGACAAUGGGCGCAAGCCUGAUCCAGCCAUACCGCGUGGGUGAAGAAGGCCUUCGGGUUGUAAAGCCCUUUUGUUGGGAAAGAAAAGCAGCAGGUUAAUACCCCGCUGUUCUGACGGUACCCAAAGAAUAAGCACCGGCUAACUUCGUG